UGGGGAAUAUUGGACAAUGGGCGCAAGCCUGAUCCAGCCAUGCCGCGUGAGUGACGAAGGUCUUCGGAUUGUAAAGCUCUUUUGCCAGGGACGAUAAUGACGGUACCUGGAGAAUAAGCCCCGGCUAACUUCGUGCCAGCAGCCGCGGUAAUACGAAGGGGGCUAGCGUUGUUCGAAAUUACUGGGCGUAAAGCGUACGUAGGCGGUUCGGUAAGUCCCAUGUGAAAUCCCACGGCUCAACCGUGGAAGGUCAUGGGAAACUGCCAGGCUAGAGUGUGAAAGGGGAGAGUGGAAUUCCCAGUGUAGUGGUGAAAUACGUAGAUAUUGGGAGGAACACCGGUGGCGAAAGCGACUCUCUGGUUCAUAACUGACGCUGAGGUACGAAAGCGUGGGGAGCAAACAGGAUUAGAUACCCCCGUAGUCCCUGAGCGGGCUGGCAAGGCGCAU
rnacentral:rRNA from 1 species